UGGGGCGGUCUCCUCCUAAAGAGUAACGGAGGAGCACGAAGGUUGGCUAAUCCUGGUCGGACAUCAGGAGGUUAGUGCAAUGGCAUAAGCCAGCUUGACUGCGAGCGUGACGGCGCGAGCAGGUGCGAAAGCAGGUCAUAGUGAUCCGGUGGUUCUGAAUGGAAGGGCCAUCGCUCAACGGAUAAAAGGUACUCCGGGGAUAACAGGCUGAUACCGCCCAAGAGUUCAUAUCGACGGCGGUGUUUGGCACCUCGAUGUCGGCUCAUCACAUCCUGGGGCUGAAGUAGGUCCCAAGGGUAUGGCUGUUCGCCAUUUAAAGUGGUACGCGAGCUGGGUUUAGAACGUCGUGAGACAGUUCGGUCCCUAUCUGCCGUGGGCGCUGGAGAACUGAGGGGGGCUGCUCCUAGUACGAGAGGACCGGAGUGGACGCAUCACUGGUGUUCGGGUUGUCAUGCCAAUGGCACUGCCCGGUAGCUAAAUGCGGAAGAGAUAAGUGCUGAAAGCAUCUAAGCACGAAACUUGCCCCGAGAUGAGUUCUCCCUGAGACUUAGAGUCUCCUGAAGGAACGUUGAAGACGACGACGUUGAUAGGCCGGGUGUGUAAGCGCAGCGAUGCGUUGAGCUAACCGGUACUAAUGAACCGUGAGGCUUAACCUU
rnacentral:rRNA from 1 species